UAAGCGGAGGAAAAGAACCUACAAGGAUUCCCCUAGUAACUGCGAGUGAAGCGGGAAAAGCUCAAAUUUGGAAUCUGGUGGUCUUUGGCCCUCCGAGUUGUAAUUUAGAGAAGCGUCUUCCGCGCUGGACCGUGCACAAGUCUCCUGGAAUGGAGCGUCAUAGAGGGUGAGAAUCCCGUCUUUGGCAUGGAAUCCCAGGGCUUCUGUGAUGCGCUCUCGACGAGUCGAGUUGUUUGGGAAUGCAGCUCAAAAUGGGUGGUGAACUCCAUCUAAAGCUAAAUAUUGGCGAGAGACCGAUAGCGAACAAGUACCGUGAGGGAAAGAUGAAAAGCACUUUGGAAAGAGAGUGAAACAGUACGUGAAAUUGUUGAAAGGGAAACGCUUGAAGUCAGUCGCGUCGACCGAGACUCAGCCUUGCCUCGGCUUGGUGUACUUCUCGGCUUGACGGGUCAGCAUCGAUUUCAAUCCUCGGAUAAUGGCAAGGGAAAGGUAGCACCUUUUUAGGUGUGUUAUAGUCCUCUGUCGCAUGCGAGGGUCGGGAUCGAGGAACUCAGCACGCACCUCAGGGUGUCGGGGCCUUGGCCCACGUUUACGUGCUUAGGAUGCUGGCGUAAUGGCUUUAAACGACC
rnacentral:rRNA from 1 species